rnacentral:rRNA from 1 species
UACGGGGGGUGCGAGCGUUGUCCGGAAUCAUUGGGCGUAAAGGGCGCGUAGGUGGCCCGGUCAGUUCGUGGUGAAAGCGCGGGGCUCAACCCUGCGUCGGCCAUGAAUACUGCCGCGGCUGGAGCACUGUAGAGGCAGGCGGAAUUCCGGGUGUAGCGGUGGAAUGCGUAGAGAUCCGGAAGAACACCAGUGGCGAAGGCGGCUCACUGGCCCGAUACUGACGCUGAGGUGCGAAAGCGUGGGGAGCAAACAGG